ACGGCGGGUGCUAAUACAUGCAAGUCGAGCGGACAGAUGGGAGCUUGCUCCCUGAUGUUAGCGGCGGACGGGUGAGUAACACGUGGGUAACCUGCCUGUAAGACUGGGAUAACUCCGGGAAACCGGGGCUAAUACCGGAUGGUUGUUUGAACCGCAUGGUUCAGACAUAAAAGGUGGCUUCGGCUACCACUUACAGAUGGACCCGCGGCGCAUUAGCUAGUUGGUGAGGUAACGGCUCACCAAGGCGACGAUGCGUAGCCGACCUGAGAGGGUGAUCGGCCACACUGGGACUGAGACACGGCCCAGACUCCUACGGGAGGCAGCAGUAGGGAAUCUUCCGCAAUGGACGAAAGUCUGACGGAGCAACGCCGCGUGAGUGAUGAAGGUUUUCGGAUCGUAAAGCUCUGUUGUUAGGGAAGAACAAGUGCCGUUCAAAUAGGGCGGCACCUUGACGGUACCUAACCAGAAAGCCACGGCUAACUACGUGCCAGCAGCCGCGGUAAUACGUAGGUGGCAAGCGUUGUCCGGAAUUAUUGGGCGUAAAGGGCUCGCAGGCGGUUUCUUAAGUCUGAUGUGAAAGCCCCCGGCUCAACCGGGGAGGGUCAUUGGAAACUGGGGAACUUGAGUGCAGAAGAGGAGAGUGGAAUUCCACGUGUAGCGGUGAAAUGCGUAGAGAUGUGGAGGAACACCAGUGGCGAAGGCGACUCUCUGGUCUGUAACUGACGCUGAGGAGCGAAAGCGUGGGGAGCGAACAGGAUUAGAUACCCUGGUAGUCCACGCCGUAAACGAUGAGUGCUAAGUGUUAGGGGGUUUCCGCCCCUUAGUGCUGCAGCUAACGCAUUAAGCACUCCGCCUGGGGAGUACGGUCGCAAGACUGAAACUCAAAGGAAUUGACGGGGGCCCGCACAAGCGGUGGAGCAUGUGGUUUAAUUCGAAGCAACGCGAAGAACCUUACCAGGUCUUGACAUCCUCUGACAAUCCUAGAGAUAGGACGUCCCCUUCGGGGGCAGAGUGACAGGUGGUGCAUGGUUGUCGUCAGCUCGUGUCGUGAGAUGUUGGGUUAAGUCCCGCAACGAGCGCAACCCUUGAUCUUAGUUGCCAGCAUUCAGUUGGGCACUCUAAGGUGACUGCCGGUGACAAACCGGAGGAAGGUGGGGAUGACGUCAAAUCAUCAUGCCCCUUAUGACCUGGGCUAACAACG
rnacentral:rRNA from 1 species